rnacentral:lncRNA from 1 species
GGUGGCAAAGCCUGUGGAGUACUCACCUACCUGCUGCAUGAAGGCAGCAUGGAGGGACUGUGGUGGAUUAUCUGCAAAGAUGGCCAAAAUUCUCUCAUCCCUGCAGGCACAUACAAGGUUGUUGCAUGGCAUAAGUAAAAUGACAGCCAAAGGAUACAUGCAACUUUUCAGGGACAAAGAUCUGUGCAGCAUCGACAGUACUGCCUAAUGAGGUUUCACCAUAAUGAAGUAUUACAACCAGUUUACAGACCAGAAAACUGAGACACAGGAAGGGGUGGUGACUUGAGCAAGGUGCAUCAGCUGGAGUUUGCAGUUCACCCGCAAACCUCAGCGAUCCAAGCUCCCCUGGAUGACCAUCACUCACCAAGAAAAGAACAAUAACAGGACCUGUUUUGCUAAUCCAGGACUGUUCUCCAGCACUAACUCUAAAUAAUCCCUUCUGCUAGAGUCCACUUUCUGGAACCUGUUGCCUCCGUUUUCAACGUUUCCCAAACUUGGUCCGUUGUGUGAGCUGGCUGAUAAAAGUUCCAGGGAGAGGACAUCUUACUCUUAUUGGAUCAUGCACAGUGCCUGAAGCAUUCUGUUGCAUGUAGAAAUCAGUAAAUUGCAGAUGUAAGAUUCAAAACCAGACUUCACAUCUACCGACUUCAGUGACCCUGAAAUUUGUUCACAGAGAGCAUUUAACAUAACUGUCUUCAUCAUCUCCUUCUCUACAUUAAAAAUUAUGG